AUGAAUGUUGAUGCUGCGUUAUCUCGCGAUGGUGAAAGGGGAGCCUUGGCAGUUGUGAGCCGGGAUCAUACAGGCUUCUUCCUUGGAGCAUCGGCAUUGGUGUGCGAAAGUGUUACUGGUCCAGAGAUCCUAGAGGCAAUGGCAUGUUGCGAGGGGCUAUCUCUGGCUCUUGACUUAAACCUGCAACAAGUUCAGAUUAGCACCGAUUGUUCAGCAACAGUCAAGCAUAUUGUAGAGGCAUACUUGGGGCCCAGCAAAGUUAUUAUGGAUGAGAUCAAGAUGAAGAAGAAUAUGUUCCAAACCAUGGAGAUCAUACAUGAAAAACGCGAGUGUAAUAUUGAAGCGCAUGUGCUCGCAAAAGCUGCUACUUCUUUGCCCUAUGGACGCCAUCUUUGGCUCACAGGAACCCCCAAAAUUAUUUGUAUACCUAUGACCGUUAAUCUUCAAUAA
rnacentral:rRNA from 1 species